rnacentral:rRNA from 1 species
GAUGAACGUUGGCGGUGUGCCUAAUACAUGCAAGUCGAACGGAGUUAAUAGCAAUAUUGACUUAGUGGCGAACGGGUGAGUAACGCGUUGGUGAUCUGCCUCAAAGUGUGGAAUAACGUUCCGAAAGGAACGCUAAUACCGCAUGUGCUCUCGUAUUUUAGAAAGUUGAGAGUAAAGGAUUUAUUCGCUUUGAGAGGAGCCUGCGUCCCAUCAGUUAGUUGGUAGGGUAAUAGCCUACCAAGGCUUUGACGGGUAGCCGGCCUGAGAGGGUGAACGGCCACACUGGGACUGAGACACGGCCCAGACUCCUACGGGAGGCAGCAGUGAGGAAUUUUCCGCAAUGGGCGCAAGCCUGACGGAGCGACGCCGCGUGAGGGAUGACAGCUUUCGGGUUGUAAACCUCUUUUAUUAAGGAAAAAGAUCUAUAUGCUAAUAUCAUGUAGAUUUGAUGGUACUUAUUGAAUAAGCCCCGGCUAACUACGUG